rnacentral:rRNA from 1 species
UACGUAGGGGGCUAGCGUUGUCCGGAUUUAUUGGGCGUAAAGAGCGUGUAGGCGGCCAGGUAGGUCUGGUGUGAAAACUCGAGGCUUAACCUCGAGAUGUCAUCGGAAACCAUCUGGCUAGAGUCCGGAAGAGGAGAGUGGAAUUCCUGGUGUAGCGGUGAAAUGCGCAGAUAUCAUGAGGAAUACCAGAGGCGAAGGCGGCUACCUGGACAAUUGCUGACGCUCAGGCACGAAAGCGUGGGGAGCAAAAGGG